GUAGGGUGCGAGCGUUGUCCGGGAUUUAUUGGGCGUAAAGGGCUCGUAGGUGGUUGAUCGCGUCGGAAGUGUAAUCUUUGGGCUUAACCCUGAGCGUGCUUUCGAUACGGGUUGACUUGAGGAAGGUAGGGGAGAAUGGAAUUCCUGGUGGAGCGGUGGAAUGCGCAGAUAUCAGGAGGAACACCAGUGGCGAAGGCGGUUCUCUGGGCCUUUCCUGACGCUGAGGAGCGAAAGCGUGGGGAGCGAACAGGCUUAGAUACCCUGGUAGUCCACGCUGUAAACGGUGGGUACUAGGUGUGGGGUCCAUUCCACGGGUUCCGCGCCGUAGCUAACGCUUUAAGUACCCCGCCUGGGGAGUACGGCCGCAAGGCUAAAACUCAAAGGAAUUGACGGGGCCCCGCACAAGCGGCGGAGCAUGCGGAUUAAUUCGAUGCAACGCGUAGAACCUUACCUGGGUUUGACAUGGAUCGGGAGUGCUCAGAGAUGGGUGUGCCUCUUUUGGGGUCGGUUCACAGGUGGUGCGUGGCUGUCGUCAGCUCGUGUCGUGAGAUGUUGGGUUAAGUCCCGCAACGAGCGCAACCCUUGUUCACUGUUGCCAGCACGUUAUGGUGGGGACUCAGUGGAGACCGCCGGGGUCAACUCGGAGGAAGGUGGGGAUGACGUCAAGUCAUCAUGCCCCUUAUGUCCAGGGCUUCACGCAUGCUACAAUGGCUGGUACAGAGAGUGGCGAGCCUGUGAGGGUGAGCGAAUCUCGGAAAGCCGGUCUCAGUUCGGAUUGGGGUCUGCAACUCGACCUCAUGAAGUUGGAGUCGCUAGUAAUCGCAGAUCAGCAACGCUGCGGUGAAUACGUUCCCGGGGCUU
rnacentral:rRNA from 1 species